CCCAGCCCUGCAGCCGGGUUCCUCAGCCUGGCCAGGCUGGUGGUCCAGCUGUCUGCAUCCAGGGGGUAGUGACAGGUGCCCCGUGGGCACCGCCCGGUCUCCGUGGUGAGGCCUUCCACUGGGAAACCUCGAGGGCUCCGAGCUACCCCAGGUGAAUGGUGAACCAAACCACGGUGGACACUACCGCUUUCUUCUGAGAUGGAAUCUGCUGCAGCGGCCAAGCUGGUCUCGUGCUCCUGGGCUGGAGGAGGGACCCUCCUGCCUCGGUCUCCAGUAGCUGAACCUGCAGCAAAUCCCCACUAGGAAGGCGACCCUCUCAGACUGCGGCACCGUCCUGCAGUCCCCUUUCUGGCCACUGGGUGUCAGGCGCGCGCCAUGCAGCUGCCAGCCCGGCGCGAGGGAAGGCGGGCAGCGGUUUGGAGGCGACACUGAGAAGGCAGUUUGCGGACAACCCUGGCUGUGCUUCCUGGGAUGCUUCAGAGGGCCUCGGAAGACCUGAGAGAAGCCCGUGCGCACUGUGAUCCCAGCACGCGGCGAGGCUGAGACAGGAAGAUCACAAGUCUGAGCCCAGCCCGGGCAGUUUAGAGACUUAGCAAGACCCUGUCUCAAAAUAAAAGAUCCAAAAGGGCUGGGAUGUAGCUGAGCUCCAAGGCCCUAGGUUCAAUCCCCAGAACAAAACAGAACAAACAAAAACAAAAAAACCACGCACACAAAACAGAAGGAAACAAAAUAUUAUGGUUUGUGUCUAGCUGUCCCCCCCAAAGCCUUAUUCGGUCACAGGUGGGGCUCUUUCAGAGGAGGCUGCAUCUAGAGUGUGACGCUGGGAUUGAUCCGUGGUGCAGUGCUAGCU
ensembl:lncRNA